AACGAACGCUAUCGGUAUGCUUAACACAUGCAAGUCGGACGGACUAAUUAGGGCUUGCUCCAAUUAGUUAGUGGCAGACGGGUGAGUAACACGUGGGAAUCUGCCCAUCAGUACGGAAUAACUUUUAGAAAUAAAAGCUAAUACCGUAUAUUCUCUACAGAGGAAAGAUUUAUCGCUGAUGGAUGAGCCCGCGUCAGAUUAGGUAGUUGGUGAGGUAACGGCUCACCAAGCCGACGAUCUGUAGCUGGUCUGGGAGGAUGAUCAGCCACACUGGGACUGAGACACGGCCCAGACUCCUACGGGAGGCAGCAGUGGGGAAUAUUGGACAAUGGGCGAAAGCCUGAUCCAGCAAUACCGAGUGAGUGAUAAAGGCCCUAGGGUUGUAAAGCUCUUUUAGCAAGGAAGAUAAUGACGUUACUUGCAGAAAAAGCCCCGGCUAACUCCGU
rnacentral:rRNA from 1 species